CGCUAGGCAGAGCCAAAAUGGGGAAGAACAUGUUGAAGAUUCCAAAACCCUUGAUUUCAUUCAAAUCCACAUAACUUCUCGCUCCGAGCUCUGAUUGACGAUCCGUUUGCAGCCACGCGACCGCAGCGUUGAGCUCUACAAAGCCCAUAACAUUGCAAGGUUUAAUUUAGCUUGCGGAGCUUAUUGAGCUCGAGUUGUUAUGCGUGUGGGCACGGUGUAGAUUAAGUGGGUAUAUAAGCAUUGGAAUUGAAUUGGGAUUACUUGGAGGUUUGUUGAUGACCAAGGCUUGUUUUGGGACUGUUUGAUUGAGCUUGGAGGGGCUGUAAUUUCGAGUUGUGAGGCUGCCUUGGGUGAACUAAGUAAUCGGCCAAGAUGCAGGUCGAGAGGCUCCUCGCUAGGCGUCUGGAUCCUGGGA